GUAACCAACCACUGAACGGUCAUUUCCCUACAGAAUAAUUGAGGGAAAAAAACACAGAAAACAAAAGAAGCUCAUCAUGUGCACAUGGGGUUGACCACACCUUUUUCAGAAGCCAGCUUGAGUAAGAACUCUUGGAAAUAGACACCCACUUCAUGGUAUAAAUGAAGAAGUGGUAAUAAAGAAGUUAUAACUGUUGUCUUUAGACCAAAAAACUUUUAACAGUAUUUCCAGAGUAAUUUUUCUGACAACCCAAGUUGCAGUAGUUUGACUGAAUUGUUAUCCUGUGGCCUGAAUCUUUUAAUAAAAGUUUUUCCAUUCAAUUUGGAAGGUAAAUAUAUAAGAGAAUAUUUCAUUGAUGUUAUAUAACAUAGACAUAAUUUUUAUUCAGAUAAAUUUA
rnacentral:lncRNA from 1 species